rnacentral:lncRNA from 1 species
AAACCGUCGUCGUUUCGAUCAUGCUCCGCGUCGUCCAGCUCCUCGAUCUUCAUCUCACCAACACUGCGCCUUCAGACUCUUCUCUGAUUCCACAAACUGAGCCUAAAUUUUACGGAAUAGAGAAAAUCCUGCUAAAUUAGGAGAUGCGGGUUUGGAUAAAAAAGAGAAAUUGUUGGGACCAAAAAUGGAAAUUUGGAUAAAAUGUGGGGGAGAGUGAGAGAGUAGAAAUUUUAAGGGUCAGAGUCUCUGAGAUAGAGAGAGAGAGAGAGAGAGAGAGAAAGAGUGUGUGUG